rnacentral:rRNA from 1 species
UACGUAGGGUGCGGGCGUUGUCCGGAAUUAUUGGGCGUAAAGAGCUCGUAGGCGGUUUGUUGCGUCGGCCGUGAAAACCUGCAGCUUAACUGUGGGCCUGCGGCCGAUACGGGCGGACUUGAGUUCGGUAGGGGAGACUGGAAUUCCUGGUGUAGCGGUGAAAUGCGCAGAUAUCAGGAGGAACACCGGUGGCGAAGGCGGGUCUCUGGGCCGAUACUGACGCUGAGGAGCGAAAGCGUGGGGAGCGAACAGG